rnacentral:rRNA from 1 species
GGAGCUUGCGGCUUAAUUUGACUCAACACGGGAAAAUUUACCAGGUCCAAACUUAUCGAGGUAAGACAGAUUGAUAGCUCUUUCUCAAAUUUAAGGGUAGUGGUGCAUGGCCGUUCUUAGUUCGUGGAAUGAUUUGUCUGGUUUAAUUCGAUAACGAACGUGACUCAAACAUGCUAACUAGAACGCUGUCAGCAGUGCGCCUCCGGCGCACCUGACGUUACAGCCGGGGCGCGCCUUCACGGGCGGUCGUCGGCUACGUUUGCCCUGCUUAGCGGGACAACUUGUGUUUAGCAGCUGAGAAUGAGCGAUAACAGUCCGUGAUGCCCUUAGAUGUUCUGGGCUGCACGCGUGCUACAAUGUGGGUCGCAGCGUGUUCUCGCAAUAGGCGCCCCCAUUCCGAGAGGAACGGGAAAUUAAAAGAAAAUAGGAGAAGCAAUAAUAUAAAUAUGAGG